rnacentral:rRNA from 1 species
CAGUAGCCGCGGGAAUACGGAGGGGGCUAGCGUUGUUCGGAAUUACUGGGCGUAAAGCGCACGUAGGCUGCUUUGUAAGUUAGAGGUGAAAGCCUGGUGCUCAACACCAGAACUGCCUUUAAGACUGCAGAGCUAGAACGUCGGAGAGGUGAGUGGAAUUCCGAGUGUAGAGGUGAAAUUCGUAGAUAUUCGGAAGAACACCAGUGGCGAAGGCGGCUCACUGGACGACUGUUGACGCUGAGGUGCGAAAGCGUGGGGAGCAAACAGGAUUAGAUACCCCCGUAGUCCUGUCCUUAUACAU